rnacentral:rRNA from 1 species
UGGGGAAUAUUGGACAAUGGGGGCAACCCUGAUCCAGCCAUGCCGCGUGAGUGAUGAAGGCCUUCGGGUUGUAAAGCUCUUUUGGCGGGGACGAUAAUGACGGUACCCGCAGAAUAAGCCCCAGCUAACUUCGUGCCAGCAGCCGCGGUAAUACGAAGGGGGCAAGCAUUGUUCGGAAUUACUGGGCGUAAAGGGUGCGUAGGCGGAUCGGAUAGUCAGGUGUGAAAUCCCAAGGCUUAACCUUGGAAUUGCAUUUGAUACUGCCAGUCUGGAAUUGUGGAGAGGAGCGUGGAAUUCCCAGUGUAGAGGUGAAAUUCGUAGAUAUUGGGAGGAACACCAGUGGCGUAGGCGACGCUCUGGCCAACAAUUGACGCUGAGGCACGAAAGUGUGGGGAGCAAA